GGCCACUACCUCGCAGUCACG
rnacentral:miRNA from 1 species